AGAAAGAUAUGUUCGAGAAGUAAGUUUAUUAUCACAAUCCAAAUAAUAAAAGACAAUGUCAACGAAAGUAUAUAUAUCCCACCCACAGCUUUGUUCUCUUUUCGCCUAAACAACCUCUACAAUAAUAAACUCUAGUAGAACAACUUUCCUCCCCAGUAUGAUUGAUAAGAGAAUCUGCAAUGGAAAGAACAAAGAGAGAGUACUGAGAUGACAAUUUUAUGAUGUU
rnacentral:lncRNA from 1 species